GAUCCUUCAAGGACUGUGAGGUACAUGAUUAGAGGUUUUCCUGGAACAAGAGGCAUCAUAAUUGGAGGUUCUUGCAAGUACUCAUUGAUCUUCUCAAAGGAAUUUUGACAAUCUUUGUUCCAUAUGACUUCCUGAUCCUUGGGAAGCAGUUUAAAGAUUGGCUCACAGGUGGGCGUGAGGUGAUAUAUGAAUCUAGCUA
rnacentral:lncRNA from 1 species